AAUAGAUACCCGGGUAGUCCACGCCGUAAACGAUGAGUGCUAAGUGUUAGAGGGUUUCCGCCCUUUAGUGCUGCAGCUAACGCAUUAAGCACUCCGCCUGGGGAGUACGGCCGCAAGGCUGAAACUCAAAGGAGUUGACGGGGGCCCGCACAAGCGGUGGAGCAUGUGGUUUAAUUCGAAGCAACGCGAAGAACCUUACCAGGUCUUGACAUCCUCUGACACUCCUAGAGAUAGGACGUUCCCCUUUGGGGGACAGAGUGACAGGUGGUGCAUGGUUGUCGUCAGCUCGUGUCGUGAGAUGUUGGGUUAAGUCCCGCAACGAGCGCAACCCUUGAUCUUAGUUGCCAGCAUUUAGUUAGGCACUCUAAGGUGACUGCCGGUGACAAACCGGAGGAAGGUGGGGAUGACGUCAAAUCAUCAUGCCCCUUAUGACCUGGGCUACACACGUGCUACAAUGGAUGGUACAAAGGGCUGCAAGACCGCGAGGUCAAGCCAAUCCCAUAAAACCAUUCUCAGUUCGGA
rnacentral:rRNA from 1 species